AACAAGGAAGCUCCUAUCCUUUUUCCCCUGCAGCUGGAAUGACACGUUGAGACGCCGCGCCACAUAAUAAGAGAGCCCGCGCUCCGGGCACACCAGCCCGUAUUACAUUUCCAUUCCCAAAGACAACGUGGCCACUGCAUCAAGAUUGACAGGCAGCCCGGGUCCGCUGAAUUGAACACGUCUGGGGGCGUCCCGGUGCACUUGGCCAAAGUAAAAACUGCAACAUGAUCCCACAGAAGAAUGCCUGAAGCGACCACAAAACCCUGCACGGCGGUGAGCAGAGACAAGCAGAGACGUGCCGCGUCCUGUCGGCAUUCCACCAGGCCAAGAAGACACUCCUGGAAAAUUCCUGCACGUCAAAAAGACAAAAGCGGCAGGUAUGCAUUCCCUCUACGGGGACACUCGAGCGGCAUAAACGGGCGCCUGAAGACUCUGCAUCUGCUGGGCCCGCGAGGAAGGAACGGGCAUUAGACGUCGAUACAUAAUUUAGUUUCCCAGCUGCGCAAUUCAACCUUUGCUGCCAAAUAAAUAUGUAAAGCCGGCAGCGGCUGGCCAAAGUCAGAAACUCAUUUUGCUCCUCAUGUACUAUUCAGAUAAGCCCGGGAUGUGAAAUAACCCGGAGCAGAUUACAAAGUCCUCAUUUCGAGCCAGUGACUUCCAGGAAGGGAAACACGUGCUGGACGGUCGUCGACAGGCUAGAAAAUCAAUCACCGCGUUUUGGCUUAUCUUCAUCAGCGACAGCGGUGGACGACCACGAUGUAUGACACCUGACAUCUUUUGGCUUUCCCCAUGAAUUUUAAAGCGGGUGGGAACACAAUUACCUGGUGGGGGAGUUGGCACAAGACUGUUUAGUCAACAUGUUUACCCUUAAAAGGGGUCAUAUUAGGAAUGUUUUUUCUACUCUGUGUAAAUGGUAAAUAAAA